AUUGAACGCUGGCGGCAGGCUUAACACAUGCAAGUCGAGCGGGGUGAUGGUGCUUGCACUAUCACUUAGCGGCGGACGGGUGAGUAAUGCCUAGGAAUCUGCCUGGUAGUGGGGGACAACGUUUCGAAAGGAACGCUAAUACCGCAUACGUCCUACGGGAGAAAGCAGGGGACCUUCGGGCCUUGCGCUAUCAGAUGAGCCUAGGUCGGAUUAGCUAGUUGGUGAGGUAAUGGCUCACCAAGGCGACGAUCCGUAACUGGUCUGAGAGGAUGAUCAGUCACACUGGAACUGAGACACGGUCCAGACUCCUACGGGAGGCAGCAGUGGGGAAUAUUGGACAAUGGGCGAAAGCCUGAUCCAGCCAUGCCGCGUGUGUGAAGAAGGUCUUCGGAUUGUAAAGCACUUUAAGUUGGGAGGAAGGGUUGUAGAUUAAUACUCUGCAAUUUUGACGUUACCGACAGAAUAAGCACCGGCUAACUCUGUGCCAGCCGCCGCGGUAA
rnacentral:rRNA from 1 species